rnacentral:ncRNA from 1 species
AUUUCAGCGGCUUAAUAGGGAAUCCGGUAAAAUCCGGAGCUGUCCCGCAACUGUAAUGUGGAGCACUGUAAUGCGAAACCAUUGGACUAGUGUCUGAGAAGGAAUUGCAGUGCGAUGAAACAGAGCCAGGAGACCUGCCAGUUUUUUAAU